UCAGCUCUAAACUCUGCAAUACCAGAAGAUCGAAAUAUCUAUUACACACUUAUGUAUAUGUGUGUGUAUACGGAGUUAUGUGUAUAUAUAAUAUAUACAUACUCUUUGAUCGAUAUAUAUCUCUCUUUAAAUACUUGCAUGGAAGCACUUUAAAUGCAAGAAUGGCUAUGGGAAUAUAAAUAUACAGAAGUUGGUGUGUAUUUACUUUUCAGCUGGUUUUCUAAGUGCAUGGCGAUGACAGCCGCUUACGUGUUUGUGUUAAAGUGCUUAAAGUAAGACUCUGUUCAUACUUGAGUCUCAGUUUGCACAUAUCCAAGUACACAAACAAAGUUAAAGAGGCAAGUGAUAGAGGUAAUAGAUUUAAUUCUAGUAUAUAUGUUUUUAUCUUCUGCAUUUUCAUAUAUCAUAUAGAAGCAAACAUUUAAAAACGAACCACAAUAUGUAGUGGCCUCUGCUUUUUCUUUCUUUCUUCUCAGGAACUAAAAACAACACUCUUCUUGACUUCAAUUACCCAAAUGGGAAUACAUGAACUAGGAAGGGGUAAAAAGCAAAAAAUUGCAAUAGCUGAUAAUUAAAGGAAACACAACAUCUAUGAAAUCAUAAUCAGAAAUUACUUGAAGCUCCCUUGCCUUCUAUUCUCUUGAUGAGUGAUCAGUAGAAGGAUUAGAAUGAGAAUAAGGACUUCCAAACUGCAUAGAAUGUCUCAGUAGUAGCUCUUCUUGUUCAUGAUGAGAAGGUACCGAUGAUGCUGAAGAGGAAGAUGCAGUUGUUGAAGGAACUGGAUUUCUUCCAGCAUUAUAAUAAGGACCCACAGGCGGCAUAGAAUAGUUCAUUAAGCCGCCUGGAAGAUAUUGUGGAUACUGAAAAACUUCUUGUCGUGAUUGUGGGUGUCGAGGAGGUGUAAUGUUAUUGGUUUGUUGUUGUUGUUGUUGUUGUUGUUGUUGGCGAUUAUUAGUCAAGAAACCUGACUGGGUUCUGCCUUGCACUCUUUCAGGAAAGUUGAGCUUAGCUUUGCAUCCUUUAAACCUAAGAGCUGCUUCGUCGUAAGCGAGUGCCGCAGCUUCUGCAGUGUCAAAAGUACCUAACCAAACUCUUGCUGCUUUAUUUGGAUCCCUUAUCUCUGCAGCCCAUUUGCCCCACGGCCUUUGCCUCACGCCUCUAUAGUGUCUUCUCCGUGUGCUCCCUUCUAUCAAAUUAGACCGCAUGCAUGGUUUUUGCCUUUCAUAGUUAGUACUAAAUAUAAGGUACUGGCAAGUCAUUUUUAGUUUCUGGCUCAAUAGAUGCAUAUUAGGUAUAAAUAGUGCUGGAAAUCAUCAUAAGCCAAUCCAGGCUUGAUUCAGACAAAUUUGUUCGAUAAAUUUAAUGAAUUAAAAUCAUUUGAUAAUUAAACAAGUUGAGCUCGUACUUAGCUUCAAGCCUUUAAGAGGCUUUUUUUUUUUUUUUUUUUUUUUUUUUUUUUUUUUUUUUUUUUUUUUUUUUAAAUUUNNNNNNNNNNAAGGGGUUUUUUUUUUUUUUUUUUUUUUUUUUUUUUUUUUUUUUUUUCUAUCUAUAAACUAUAAAGAAAUGGAGCUUGAGAUCUUGCUUGAGCUCAACAUCAAAUAUGAGUAUAUCUUUAAUGAAAUUCAAGUAUAUCUUUAAUAAGCCGAACUCGAGCUCAAUAAAGCUUAGCUCAUUUAUAGUACUAACUAUAAAUCACACUUGUUUGAUGACAAUCUUUAUUCAUUAUGGAAGAUUUAGGGCAAAAAAGUCUCAUAAAUAAUACUUAACAACGUUUCUAAAAGUUACUAGCCAUUAUUGAAUGCUAAUUAAUUUCCUUUUAAAAGAUAAGACACAGAAGAACUAAAGUGAAAAUAAUAAAAUUGAAAAGAAAAAAAAAGCAACAUAGACAGGAAGGUAAUAAGUUUGAAACACAUGAAAUCAUAAAGCAAUUAAUUAAUAAAGAAAAUUUUCUUCUAAAAAGAGAUCAUAGAUACAAAGUAAGAAAUAGAGGAAAUCAAAUAAAUGUGCAAGAUUUAUACCUUGGUCUUGAACUGUCUGUGGUUGUGGUGGAUGAAGCCCUUGUGUAUUGGAUUGUGGUAUAGCUAAUGGAAUAUCAUGAAUUGGAUUAUUUUGGGUACUACUUCCCAUAACUUGAGCAAGGGCAGAGAUCAUUGCAGUCAUAUCUUGUUGAGAUCGAGCCGAGUAGACUGGGAAGAUGUAAUCUUCCUCUUUCUCCUCCGGUUCAUCGAAUGGAAGGGCCCUUUUCCCAUUAUUACGAUCCACUUUGUAGUUUUCCUAUAUUACUCUCUAGCUUUAAACAAAAUCACAACUAUUUCUUGCUAAACAUUUAAUUUUGCCCUGUUAG
rnacentral:lncRNA from 1 species